rnacentral:rRNA from 1 species
GAAUUGACGGGGACCCGCACAAGCAGUGGAGUAUGUGGUUUAAUUCGAAGCAACGCGAAGAACCUUACCAGGUCUUGACAUCCCUCUGACCGCUGUAGAGAUAUGGCUUUCCUUCGGGACAGAGGAGACAGGUGGUGCAUGGUUGUCGUCAGCUCGUGUCGUGAGAUGUUGGGUUAAGUCCCGCAACGAGCGCAACCCUUGACUUUAGUUGCCAGCAUGUAAUGGUGGGCACUCUAGAGUGACUGCCGGUGACAAACCGGAGGAAGGUGGGGAUGACGUCAAAUCAUCAUGCCCCUUAUGACCUGGGCUACACACGUACUACAAUGGCCGGUACAACGGGAAGCGAUGGCGCGAUCUGGAGCGAAUCCUAGAAAAGCCGGUCUCAGUUCGGAUUGCAGGCUGCAACUCGCCUGCAUGAAGUCGGAAUUGCUAGUAAUCGCGGAUCAGCAUGCCGCGGUGAAUACGUUCCCGGGUCUUGUACACACCG